GAUCCUGGCUCAGGAUGAACGCUAGCUACAGGCUUAACACAUGCAAGUCGAGGGGAAACGACAUCGGAAGCUUGCUUUGAUGGGCGUCGACCGGCGCACGGGUGAGUAACGCGUAUCCAACCUGCCCACCACUUGGGGAUAACCUUGCGAAAGUAAGACUAAUACCCAAUGAUAUCUCUAGAAGACAUCUGAAAGAGAUUAAAGAUUUAUCGGUGAUGGAUGGGGAUGCGUCUGAUUAGCUUGUUGGCGGGGUAACGGCCCACCAAGGCGACGAUCAGUAGGGGUUCUGAGAGGAAGGUCCCCCACAUUGGAACUGAGACACGGUCCAAACUCCUACGGGAGGCAGCAGUGAGGAAUAUUGGUCAAUGGGCGAGAGCCUGAACCAGCCAAGUAGCGUGCAGGAAGACGGCCCUAUGGGUUGUAAACUGCUUUUAUAAGGGAAUAAAGUGAGAGUCGUGACUCUUUUUGCAUGUACCUUAUGAAUAAGGACCGGCUAAUUCCGUG
rnacentral:rRNA from 1 species